rnacentral:rRNA from 1 species
GUAGGUGGCAAGCGUUGUCCGGAAUUAUUGGGGCGUAAAGCGCGCGCAGGCGGUUCUUUAAGUCUGAUGUGAAAGCCCACGGGCUCAACCGUGGAGGGUCAUUGGAAACUGGAGAACUUGAGUACAGAAGAGGAAAGCGGAAUUCCACGUGUAGCGGUGAAAUGCGUAGAGAUGUGAGGAACACCAGUGGCGAAGGCGGCUUUCUGGUCUGUAACUGACGCUGAGGCGCGAAAGCGUGGGGAGCAAACAGGAUUAGAUACCCUGGUAGUCCACGCCGUAAACGAUGAGUGCUAAGUGUUAGGGGGGUUUCCGCCCCCUUAGUGCUGCAGCUAACGCAUUAAGCACUCCGCCUGGGGAGUACGGCCGCAAGGCUG